CAACACAUGAAAAGACAUAGCGAGCACAAGCUCCUCGGUCUAAAAACCUACGGUACCGUGUUCCGGACUGAGGGACUGCAAGGCUGAUUCACAGAAGUGCACUGUAUUCCAGGAAAACACUGACUUACUGUAUCCAGAUUUGACUUUGUCUUGAUUGUUUCAAAUUCGUAAUCUCUUCUAAAAUGACACAAGCUUUUCAAGCAUGACCACGAUACAAGCUUUUCAGGCACGACCACAAAUUAAAUGAAAAAUAAAGUCUGCUACAACUUGAAAUACUUCAUGCUUUUUAAUUACCAGGAGGAUGUGGCAGGAUAACCCAGGAUAUACAUGUAAGACAGCAUCUCGCAAGUGGACAGGGAGGGCUGACGGCACAUUGUUGCAAGAAAAGAGGAAAGGUGAUUCUGUACGUGCUUUUUGACCAAAGUUUCCUACAUCUCCUCACUUCCAGCAGAAACAGAAAAACAAGGUGGGACUGCUUCUGAGAAUUCAAGGUGAAGGCUGACUUAAAACAGCAUAUGUGAUAGCCAACAGGAAGAAAUUUAUGCAAAGAGAAAUCACAGAAACGUAGACAAUUCAGGGGGAAGAUGACUGAUCCGCUCUCUUCACACUGCUACUGCUUAUUAAUUUCAAACUUCCUGCUCUGAUGAGUUUCCGUUCUCCUCAAAACACCAAGCUCCUAUCCUACUGAUACUUGAUGCAGUACUUCAAUUUAAACAAUGUUCUGUCAAAAACUUCUCUUAUAAGAGCUUAUUAUGUAUUUGGUUCAUACGUGAACUGUGCAUACCGCAUUCAUCUUCACAAUUACUGCAGUCCAAUUGGGCAAUUCAAAUUAGAAGUCUUGCUUACCAUGAGACAAAGCUUUUUUGGACCUGAACGAUGUCCUGCUGUGAUGUUUCUUGGGAAAAGAGAAGAUGAGUAGCUCAUGUUCACCACCACAGAGAAGGAAUUUAUACGGAGUAUAUUCAAAGGACUUCCACAAUAUGAAAAAAUAAGGAGAGUACACCGCAUGAUAAAAACUGGUGUCCGUGAUCUGGAGAGUUUACAGGGUGGACAGGGAGGACAUAAGGACUUAAUGAGCUUAGCUAAAGCAAAGAAGUUUUUGCUGGAAUUAGUAUGGAGAAUAACAAGAGUCACAGGGAGAUAUUAAAGUGAGACACACUUUUCUGAGAGAGCAGAAUAAACGUAAAAUGAAAGGAUCCAGUAUUUUCUCAGAGCUAAGGGCUAGAAAGUCAGAGGUCAUGGAUGGUAAUGAUAAUUACAGGAGUGAAGCAGGCUUAGACAGGGAAAUUGCCAAAUAAAGAAGGAAGGAAGAAAUGAUCCAAAUACACAUUCUCACAAUAUCAGGGGUGAGAAAUGGAAGAGGAUGGUGUGGAGAUGGACAUUAAGAGCUGGAGCAUAAGCUUCAGCUUAAGCAUAAGCUAGUCAAGAUUUAAGAAAGAAAGAAGGAAAAGGAAAAAUUUUAGCAAAUACUGUGCAAGGAGACGUGCUGGUAUCCCUGCUUAAGAGACGGAUUUUUUUUCUAGGAUAAUUCUAGGACUCGAGGAAAAUGGAGUAAACACCUUAUAAUUCUGGGAGACUUACAAGAGGCUAAGUAACUAGAUUAAGCAUAGCGUACGCAAUUAGAAUCUUAAGAGAAAUAGGUGAUAACAUUAAUUCAACGUAAAUCCAUCUUUGAAUAUAUCUACAUUUUUUAAUACCUGACAAUAAAACAGUUGGCAUUACACAAACGAGAAGGAAACACAGUCUCCUGAACAGGCAAGAUUUUAGGAAUAAUUUGAAGAAAAAACAUGAAGGCACUAGAAAGGCCUAACC